UGUACUGGUCCAUAUUGGUGUGUACUGGUCCAUAUUGAUCCUGUUAGUUCGUAUUGAUGUGUACUGGUCUGUAGUGAUCCAUACUGGUUCGCACAGAUCUGGACUGGUCCAUACUGGUCUGUAUUGGGCUGUACUGGGCGUUAUGGGUCUGUACUGGUCCGUACUGGUCUGUACUGGCCUGGACUGGUCCCUACUGCUCCGUACUGGUUCAUACUGGUCCGUACUGGUCGCAGGCCCAGCAGCGGCUGCGGGAGGUGGCUCUGGAGGCUCAGGCUGCGCAGCUCAAGCGCCUGCGGCAGAUCAGUGAGAGAAGGAGCUGCAGAAGAUCCUGGACCGGAAGCGGCACCACAGCAUCACGGAGGCGCGCGGGCGCCGGGGGGGGGAGCUGACG